GGGGCCCUACGUGGCGAGGAAAGGCGGGGCCCGCCUGCGCGCGCCACUGGCGGCUGCGCGCUGGAGGGCGGCCACUCCCACAGCGGGCGGCGGUGAGGGCGCUGGGCCGGCUGCCGGCGUGGGACCGACGAGGGCGGGAAGGCGCUUGAGCUGAACGCUGGCACGGUUUCCUAGAGCUAAAAGAAAGGCUGAGUUAGAGUACCCUUCCAAAAUGGCUGCUCUUAAGGAAGAGAGAGAGGUGGAAGACUACAAGAGGAAAGGAAGACGAUCCUCACAGCAGAAAUACCGUAGACUGAAUAAGGGCCAUGAGCCAAAGGAGCCAGAGCAGUUGAGAAAGCUGUUCAUUGGAGGUCUGAGCUUUGAAACAACAGAUGAUAGCUUGAGAGAGCACUUUGAAAAAUGGGGCACACUCACGGACUGUGUGGUGAUGAGAGACCCCCAAACAAAACGUUCCAGAGGCUUCGGCUUUGUGACUUACUCUUGUGUGGAGGAGGUGGAUGCUGCCAUGAGCGCUCGACCACAUAAGGUUGAUGGACGCGUGGUUGAACCAAAGAGGGCGGUUUCAAGGGAGGAUUCUGUAAAGCCUGGGGCACAUCUCACAGUAAAGAAAAUAUUUGUUGGUGGAAUUAAAGAAGACACAGAAGAAUAUAAUUUAAGGGAGUACUUUGAAAAGUACGGCAAGAUUGAAACCAUAGAAGUGAUGGAAGACAGGCAAAGUGGAAAGAAGAGAGGCUUUGCUUUUGUGACUUUUGAUGAUCAUGAUACAGUUGAUAAAAUUGUUGUUCAGAAAUACCAUACUAUAAAUGGACAUAACUGUGAAGUGAAAAAAGCACUCUCAAAACAAGAGAUGCAGACUGCUAGCUCUCAGAGAGUAAAAUAUUUUGUAGGUCGUGGGGGUGGCUCAGGCAACUUCAUGGGUCGUGGAAACUUUGGAGGCGGUGGAGGGAACUUUGGCAGAGGAGGAAACUUUGGUGGAAGAGGAGGCUAUGGGGGUGGUGGUGGCGGUGGUGGGAGCAGAGGAAGCUUUGGGGGUGGUGACGGAUACAAUGGAUUUGGUGAUGGGGGCAACUAUGGAGGGGGUCCUGGCUAUGGCAGCAGAGGAGGUUAUGGUGGUGGUGGAGGACCGGGAUAUGGAAACCCAGGUGGUGGAUAUGGAGGUGGAGGAGGAGGAUAUGAUGGCUACAAUGAAGGAGGAAAUUUCGGUGGUGGUAAUUAUGGUGGAAGUGGAAACUACAAUGAUUUUGGCAAUUACAGUGGACAGCAGCAAUCCAACUAUGGUCCCAUGAAAGGUGGUGGCAGCUUUGGUGGCAGAAGUUCAGGCAGUCCCUAUGGUGGUGGUUAUGGAUCUGGAAGUGGAAGUGGGGGCUAUGGUGGUAGAAGAUUCUAAAAAUGCUACCAGAAAAAGGGUUGAAUGAGAAGCUGCUGCUUGACAAAAUGGGGAAUGUCUUGCACAUCCUCUUCAGUUGAAGGUUUCUGACUGGGUACAAAGCUGGUGUGUGUCUGAGAUCAACGAGAGAGAAAUGAGAAAUGCUUUGAACUACGUGCUCUGAAAAGUUACUGGGGUGCUUGGGGGAGGAGGGCGGGAGGGGGGAGAAGCUGUUGUUUGCCCUGUGGUGGAAAGAGGCGCCCUGCAGAGACCCAGCCAGGGAAGAUGGGAAGUGGCCCAUGCCAGGUCUCAUGGGAACUCUGUAAAGGCGCUUUGUGCUGCUCAGGGCAGCAAGUUCCCUCCUAGUAAACAUGUCUUGGCUCUACGAGGUGGGUUUACAUUUGUACAAAUCAAAGAGCUCCCUCAGAUGUUCAGUGCUUCCAGGCAGGGGGCUUUAGUGGAGGCUGAUGCCGUCAUGUGAAGCCCAGCUGGAAGCACAACUGUGUUAUACAGAUGAAUGGCAUUAAAGGAAUCUUUCAUCAACCUGCUUUAAUGCAGAUCGGUUCUUAACUCUUGGAACAUGUAUUUCCUUUUCUGCAUCUUUGAUCGUUACAGACGUGGAGUAUUUUUAGCUCCUUUUAUAUUUAGAGUAGCCUAGUACCUAUUUAAUCUUGGCAAUACAUUUUUGAGUCUGCAUUAGCUUUGUGAAGUCAGUUUCUAUUUUAGCAUUGGUUAUGCUUCAGUUACUCAGAAAAUAAAGUCAAAUGGAACCCUUGCAUUUCAGUUUAACCUGGAGCUUGGUCAUGUUCACAGACUGAUUCAAGUAUUUAAACUUGUUGCCUGCUGUCUGUAAACAUCCAGAAAGCAAACUCUUGACAUUGUAACUUAGAAUUAAAGUUAAGUUGAAAGUAACUUACAGUGGUGAUUGAUGUUGAGAUUUUCAGGUAAGCAGGAGCUACUUGAUGGAAAGCUCACAAUGACUGUUUGUGUUUUUGACAAAUGUUGACAAACAUUUUCGAUUAGCCAAAGUUGAGCCAGAAUUUGGUGCAGUAAGGUCACAGCCUCCUUAGCACAGCAUGCCAGGCAGUGAGCUGCUGAGGUGACAGCUUGCUUUCUUACACCUAGAGCUGGAAAACCUUUGCUUUUCCGCUGCUGGGCAGGGUUUCCUCAUGAGCUCACCUGUACAUAGCAACAGGUAGUGGGGAAGAGCAGUAGUGUGUCUCUGCUGAGGGCAAAGGCUCUGUUCUUGUGGGAGAGGGGAAGUGUUACUAUUUUUGAACAGUAGAAUGUUGAAAAUGUUGUAACAAAAACUCUGCUCUGCAUCCCAUUACUAGGCCUGUGUGUAGAGCAUAGCUCAGCCUUAGCAUGAGAGGAGUCUACGUUGCUGCAGACUCGUUCUGUGCUCUGGAGGGUGGUUUUUGCACCACAUGUAGAGCUAGAUAGUCACUGGCAGAAUUAUUUUCACCCUUUGAUUUAUAACACUCCCGUUAGACUAAUUUGCUUAAUCUCAAUUAUUCAUACCCCAAUUUGAUCAGAAAUAAACCUUGUCAAAGGUAAACGCAUGUAUCUUUGCCCAAGAGGUGCUUCCAAGAGUUAAGAAUUUUUGUUUGUGGGUAGGUUUUUCUGCAGUGGCUGCUAUUGAAAACAGCUGUAAAUGGAGAUGUAAAGAUGUAAAGUCAACAAAGCAUUGGUCCUUAAGCUGCAGUUCUACAGAAGUUUAUUUGCUGCCUAAACCUUUGUCUUAAUCUAAAAGCAAACAGUACUUCCAAGAAGUGAAAAUGUAUUUCCCCAAAAGGGGCCCAGGUUGAUGCGGAUGUGAUAAGUGUUUUGUUAUUAUAGAACCCUGAAAUGAAACACAGCAUCUUAACUUUGAUAUCAUUUAAAUACUUAAGGCAGGAAGGGGAAUGCUCAUGUCUUUCAAGCAUUGGUUGUGUGAUGUACUGACUUGCUGUCUUUGGUUCCUGUGUUCAAGACAUUAAUGUGUUUUCAUAGACUGUCUGCACCGCAGUGGAAUAUUCACUUACGUAUCGGUCUGUGGUCUCUGAUGGGCGUUUAUAUCUUAAGCUAUGUGGAGCAUGAAAGAUCUUGAGUCUCUCUGAAAUUCGGGUAUCUGAUGGAUGGUUCUUUUUCUGCUGUGGGUGCUACAGGUUGACAUCUCUGUCUAAGAUUAGCUUUUUCCUGAACUAAAGUAAUCCAAGUAUCUCCGUAGAAGAAAAAUGGCCUUCAUGUAGAAGAUAAUAUCGCAAGAUUGGAAACAGAAUAAUAUGUUACAAUAACUGGCAAAGACUUGAAGAGCAACGGUGCCAGUGUGCUGAGAUCUUAGAACUUGUGCUUAAACAAGUUUGAAAAUAGUAUGGAAAUUUUAAAAUUUCAGUAUAAUCCAUAAUGGAUUGAAAAUUGUUAAAAAUAUUUCCAUUUUGUAUCAGAAUAAAGUGUAUGUUGUCAAGUGACUCACAUCUAAAAUGCGCUACCAUCACCUUUCUUUAGUGCUGUGCAGAACACAAAGCGGUCCUAACUCACUGCAACACACCGAGUUACAGGAUCAGCUUUCCAGCUUGGGACUGGUGGUUCAGCCCCACUCCUCAGCUUUGCUUUUAAUGGUUGUAGAACUGAAUGUUCUGAUCAAAAAGUAAGUGGCCUCUGCAUGGGGAGUUGUCGGCGUGCAAGGUCAGCAUUGGGAUGCGUUAGACUUGGCAAUGUCACAGUUGCUCUUGGCUUCGGGAACAUACUCUGUACCUCAGUAAUAACAAUAAAAUUAAGGAUUUAGUUUGCAA